ACGGGUGAGUAAUACAUCGGAACGUGCCCUGUAGUGGGGGAUAACUAGUCGAAAGAUUAGCUAAUACCGCAUACGACCUGAGGGUGAAAGUGGGGGACCGCAAGGCCUCAUGCUAUAGGAGCGGCCGAUGUCUGAUUAGCUAGUUGGUGAGGUAAAGGCUCACCAAGGCGACGAUCAGUAGCUGGUCUGAGAGGACGAUCAGCCACACUGGGACUGAGACACGGCCCAGACUCCUACGGGAGGCAGCAGUGGGGAAUUUUGGACAAUGGGGGCAACCCUGAUCCAGCAAUGCCGCGUGUGUGAAGAAGGCCUUCGGGUUGUAAAGCACCUUUGUCCGGAAAGAAAUCGCACUUACUAAUAUUAGGUGUGGAUGACGGUACCGGAAGAAUAAGGACCGGCUAACUACGUGCCAGCAGCCGCGGUAAUACGUAGGGUCCAAGCGUUAAUCGGAAUUACUGGGCGUAAAGCGUGCGCAGGCGGUUGUGCAAGACCGAUGUGAAAUCCCCGGGCUUAACCUGGGAAUUGCAUUGGUGACUGCACGGCUAGAGUGUGUCAGAGGGGGGUAGAAUUCCACGU
rnacentral:rRNA from 1 species